ensembl:lncRNA
UGAUCAUCUUCUGGACCGGGGAAGCUUCUUUCCCAGAGUCUGAAGGCCUUAGCUGCAGCCAAGGCUGCAUCAGACGUCCGCUGGGAGAGAGUAUUACAGACAUUACUGAUGACAGCGCAGAAAAGUUUCUGUCCACCAAUGGGAAGCAGAGGAACUAACAUAGUCUUAGAGCUUUGACAUAUUCACGCUGGAUCUCAGACAUCUGGUUUCCAUUUCCCUCCUCUCCCAGGACAGUGAAUGCUGGCAGUGGAGCUUUUCAGUGAGAUUGUCUCCUCCACUUCCUGUGCUAUCAGUUUAGCAUAAAUGCGUGCAGUGCAAAGAGCAACAGAAACAAUGCUCCGCACACAGAGGCACUUAUUAAAGCAAGCAGUGUUCUCUCCUUCGCGGUUUAUUUUUAGCUCUCCAACUUCCCACCAGACCUCGACACUACCCUCAGGAUUUAUAGCAGGAGCACCCUGUGAGCCGCCAUUUUCACAGCAUCAUCUCCGCUCUCCUCUAAAAGAAAAAAUGAGGCUAGUUGACACACUCUCACCACGCUGCUAAUGAGUGACACAUGCCCCCCAGCUCUGCUGCUGACACUUCUAGAUCAAAGCCCUGGAAGGACUUUUAUGCCCCCACAUCCUUCAUCCACCUCCUUUUUGGCACCAGUGAGACAUGUCUGGGAGCUGCCAAAUGGAGACACACCUGUCCUUGCCACAAGGAGUCGGUUCUGCGUACAGUCUUCGGGGGAGUUGUCUCCGUGUUUGGACGAGAAGAGUUUGGAGACUCCGUAAAACUAAAGAGGACCUGCGCCGCGGGGCGCGCCGGCAGGACGACUCCUGCAAGGUAACAGUGCGCAUGUUCCUGAAACGUUUUUUAAUAUGGUGCCUGUCUGUCUUUAUGCUUAUUUUUUUACUCUUUAUAGCCGUUUAGUAUUUUUUUUAAGGAUUUCUUAUUCUCAAUUUAUAUAUUGAUAUAUAUUGAAAAACACUUAAAACAUUUAACUUGUGAAUUUUGAGAAAACUAAAACAAGAUGCUUUGGAAAAAAUUAAUAGUUAUGUCACUGGAUGAAAAUAGUUUUAUUUGCUUCAGAUUUAAUCAAAAAAGUUUACAACGGAGUUUGAGACUAGUGUGAAUCUCUGAAUGAAAAAAAGAUUAGCAACAAAAGGAAAAAAAAAUCCCAAAGCAGGAAGGGAGGAAAAGCUUCAUCCUGCUACAGACGCUUCUGCUUUACUAUGCAUGACCUCGUCCUCCUGUGUGCCAUCAGUUUGCCUCAACUGCCUCUGUCCUUUUGAACCUGAGCAGAUGCCACUCUGCCACUCCACUCUGGAGACACUGUGAAGAAAAUAUCUCGUCACUGUUUGUAUUUGUCCCCAUUAAAGGGAUUUUUUUAUUUUGUGCAUGCAGAUCCAAAGUCACUCAGCUCCUUCAUGACCACUAAGAUCAAGCACUUAGUUUUUUCUGCUUUAAUCCGAUUUUCACAUGUUCUUGUUGUCCUUGUUGUUGAAAAAUUUGUUCUUAAAGAACUGUCAAAAAUAAAAACGAGGCUCAGUGUUUUGAUUGUGUGAGCUCCUAGAGUAACAUCUACUGGAAGAAACUGUUAUUUCCUCUGUUCUCCAAGCUUCUCUUUUCCUUUAAUUGUCUCUUUUUUCUUUACAUUUUUAAAAUUUCGUCUAUUUAUUUUUUUUUCCAAAAAAUUAUAUCAAAAAGGAUGAAGUGACAUUGGAUUACACUUAAUUUAAUUUGUCUCCAUGAGUUUUUUCAGUCCAGCUCACUCCUGCCACUUUCCUCUUGUUCUGACAAUUCUUUUUUUAUGCAGAUGCUUUUAUGAGAUAGUAAAUUGUUUAUUUGUGGUUUGUCAAUGUUAAAGCACUAUAGAUACAUGAAUGUUGAGGUUUGAUGUUCAUUUAAAAUCUGUACUUUCCCUCCUACUUGUUUGUUCACAGGGACGAUUUAAAGGCAAAGCGAGAAGUUUGGUGGAAAGUAAAUGGGAAAAAAAGUCACUCUAGGCGAGUGAAUCUCAUAGGUGAGAAAGAAAUCCCACUAAAGUUUCAUGUGCUGUAUUAUUUGUAAAAGCUAACAUAAACAUGCGGUAUACAUGCCAAUCAUAUCUGACCUAUGACACUCAUUAAUGUACAUUUCAUACAUUCAUAAUGAAAAAUAAGGCCUUUUUUUAAUUAAAGUAAAUAAAACAUGAAACUUUGAUUGUACAUAAAAACAUUAGGAGAAAAAUGUGCAAAAGAGGCAAAUGAAUCUUUGUCAUGUGCAGCAAGGGAUGUUGGGAUUACUGUCAUACUCAGAAAAUAUUGGUCAAGGAGUCAUUUUGGGUUCUUGGGUGGACUACACCUUUUCAUGCAGUUUGUUCAACAAAUACGCUUAGUUUUUCUUUUCUACACUGGUUGGUUGAAGUUCUUCCAUCUUCAGAGUAAAUGAAACUAACCCUGGACCAUCCAGGUAUUCUGGAAUCUUUUUAAUCUCUUGUUUUACUAAACAUUUGCUUUGUUGUGCAACGACUUUGUUUUUAUCCAAAUCUGUACAGUGAUUU